CUCCCUUCACGUCUUGGCUCCGGGGGCGUCAAGAGGGAACGAGACUGGAACGUUCCCAAACCCUGGGGGAGGCUCCGGGAGGCCGGGCUUGGGUGGGCCUCCAAGAUUGUUUUUCCCCCACCCCGCUGCAAACCCAAUGCCUGGAGGAGGAGACUGAGGUGCAAGCUAGGAGCCUGAGACUUGCUUAGAUCUAGCUCCUCGUGGUUGACUCCCGAGCCAGAGCGCUUUUGCCCUAGGCCUUCCUGGAGGUGCGACGAGGGCAGGGGGGCGGGCAACCAAGCCUGCUCCGGGUUCUUUGGGGAUUGCUCCCACUCUCUUGGAACCCUCUGGGCAGCCGCUGCCAAUUGCACACACUUUAGGGUGUGUGAAAACAUCUGCUUGCUGACUUCUACCUGAAUUUCCAGGGCCAACGACACAAGUCAGGGAGUGCCGUUUCCGGGGUGCCCAGUAAACCUGACCGCCUUGGAGGGGUGGCACCGGUUCCAUAAGCAAGCUCGGUCAUGGCUCUGAAUCUCCACCCUGCACUGCCUCCAUCCAGCAAAUGCCACACUUACAUCCUUUACCUUUUGCCACCGGUCUUUCCAGGCCCUUAACACGACCGAGUCUUCCCCAUCCUCCCCCCAGAGAUCUAUGUGUUCUUUGAAACUAUUCAGUUUUCAUUUUAAAAUCUCAGUCACGGUUUGUGCUGGGUGCCUGGUUUCUUAACAAGUUCCCCAGCUUCCUUGAAGGAAUACUUAAGGAAGAUUUGGCAGUGGUGGUUUUCUAAAAGACUUCUUAAUUCUUCCUCGGAAUCGCAGAUUUUGUUUUGAUGUUUGGAGACCUCCCCCAACCCCUCCCAGGAGCAUGUAGAAAUAUUUUUCUUAGUUAUACUAGCACCUAAUGUGGAUGAAGACCUCCCCACAAGCCAGGCACGGCGCUAAGGGCUGUGCAUCACUGCCUUUAGUUUCCCCCAUAACCCUGUGACAUGGGUGUUAUUAUGAUCUCUUUCAUAGAGGUGAAGCAGCUACGGCUGGGCGCGGUGGCUCACACCUGUAAUCCCAGCACUUUGGGAGGCUGAGGCGGGUGGAUCACGAGGUCAGGAGUUCGAGACUAGCCUGGCCAACAUGGUGAAAAUCCAUCUCUACAUAUAUAUACACACACAAAAAAAUUAACUGGGCUUGGUAGCAGAUGCCUGUAAACUCAGCUACUCGGAAGGCUGAGGCAGGAGAAUCAUUUGAACUUGGGAGGUGGUGGUUGCAGUGAGCUAAAAUCGCAGGACUGCACUCCAGUCUGGGUGACAGUGUGAGACUACGUCUCAAAAAAAAAAAAAAA
rnacentral:lncRNA from 1 species